rnacentral:rRNA from 1 species
GAUGAACGCUGGCGGCGUGCCUAAUACAUGCAAGUCGAGCGAACAGACGAGGAGCUUGCUCCUCUGACGUUAGCGGCGGACGGGUGAGUAACACGUGGAUAACCUACCUAUAAGACUGGGAUAACUUCGGGAAACCGGAGCUAAUACCGGAUAAUAUAUUGAACCGCAUGGUUCAAUAGUGAAAGACGGUUUUGCUGUCACUUAUAGAUGGAUCCGCGCCGCAUUAGCUAGUUGGUAAGGUAACGGCUUACCAAGGCGACGAUGCGUAGCCGACCUGAGAGGGUGAUCGGCCACACUGGAACUGAGACACGGUCCAGACUCCUACGGGAGGCAGCAGUAGGGAAUCUUCCGCAAUGGGCGAAAGCCUGACGGAGCAACGCCGCGUGAGUUAUGAAGGUCUUCGGAUCGUAAAACUCUGUUAUUAGUGAAGAACAUAUGUGUAAGUAACUGUGCACAUCUUGACGGUACCUAAUCAGAAAGCCACGGCUAACUACGUG